GACGAACGCUGGCGGCAUGCCUUACACAUGCAAGUCGAACGGCAGCACGGGAGCAAUCCUGGUGGCGAGUGGCGAACGGGUGAGUAAUAUAUCGGAACGUGCCCAGUAGUGGGGGAUAACUGCUCGAAAGAGCAGCUAAUACCGCAUACGACCUGAGGGUGAAAGGGGGGGAUCGCAAGACCUCUCGCUAUUGGAGCGGCCGAUAUCAGAUUAGCUAGUUGGUGGGGUAAAGGCCUAACAAGGCAACGAAUUGUAGUUGGUCUGAGAGGACGGCCAACACCACUGGGACUGAGACACGGCCCAGACACCUACGGGAGGCAGCAGUGGGGAAUGUUGGACAAUGGGGGCAACCCUGAUCCAGCCGUUCCGAGUGAGUGAAGAAGGCCUUCGGGUUGUAAAGCUCUUUCGGCAGGAACGAAACGGCGAGCUCUAACAUAGCUUGCUAAUGACGGUACCUGAAGAAGAAGCACCGGCUAACUACGUGCCAGCCGCCGCCGUAA
rnacentral:rRNA from 1 species